GCCACCUGGAGUCUCCUUUUUAAUGCAAAUUAUUGUUGAACUUCCAGCAACCAUUAAUAUACUUCUGUCCAAUAAAGUCCUGAGGAAGUGAGGCCUCAGAGUCACCUUUUGAUAAUCCUAAAGGGUGACUGGAACCUAAAAGCAGCAUAAGAACCCUGGGCAUUUGGAGAAAGGGGGUUACCAAGGGCAUAGGAGCUCAGUGAGCAAAGAAAAUAAAUGGGAAACAGAAGGUUCCAGAAAGCCCAUAGACUAAUGCCAGUGUUAAAGGCCAGCUUUUUAUUCCAACACAGUAACAUUGUUGCCAGCAGGUCUUGACCGCAUCAGUACUGCUAUUGCUACAGGUGUGCCAUAUUAUUAGAUUUACUGAUUCAUCCACUUUAAGAGCAAUUCAACAUUUCUUAUUUCUUUCAAGAAAAACUGCAUCCCAUGAUGCAUACCAUAUUCAGUUUUCCUUGGUACUGACUCUCCUUGAAUAGCCUAAUUUGGCUCUGUUGCUAUGGGGGUCUGGACUUGGAGAGUCUGAUCCUGGGUUAAACUUGCAGGACUUCGGUUGAUUAGAGCGCCAAUAUUUAGAGUUGAGAUUUGGAAGAAUGUCUACAAACUUAUUUCUAAAGAAAGAAAGGGUAGAAGGAAAAGAUCCCCUCUAAGCUGCCAAAGCUAAGAGUGGGAUGAUUAGAGUGUCUGUCUCUUCCCAUGGCCAAUGGGUGUGCAACAGGACAGGAAAGAACUUCCUUGGUGGAAUGCAUGCACAGUGGAGGAGGUGCCUUCCUUGGAGAUUUUUCAUAAUACUGGAGAUGGGUCCCGACAGGGUGGUUCUGUGAGUAGCAUGGGGGAUCUUCCUCUGUCUAGAACAAAUGUUAUGAAAACCUCUGAUGCAAAGAAUGCAAAUAAGCCCCUGACCCCGCCCCUGGGCCGUUGUUGUCUGCCAUUACAGGAAGUGAAUGUCAAUCAAAGCUUGACAGGGGAGAUAGAGCAUUUUAUUUUGGAAGCCAGAAGUUUGAGAACAAUGACUGGAAUUUCCUCUUUCUGUCCAGCAAGAGCUGUUUGUCACUGGGGAGAUAAAAGUCCAAGGCCAGAUGCACCCAGCUGGACUCCUUGGAGCUGAGCCCUGCAGAGGGAGAUUUGCACUGGGGCUGCGGGGCUAGGAACUGAUGUGGCCACUUCUCCAUCUUCAUCCCAUGCAUCCUGACUGCACUGGCUGUUCUAGAAGACAAAAGUAUCUUUCAGGCAAGUGAGAAACCCAAGGCUUAUACUAUAGUAGGAGAGACUUACCAUAGGGGCUACUUACUGAGUUCUUACUGUGUCUUAGGUUCUGUUUUAAUCAUUUGGUAUACAUUACCUUAUUUAAUUUUCCCAAUGAUCCUAUGAGGUACUAUUAUUACACCUAUUUUUCACUUGCAGCUCAGGUAAGGAACUUGUCCAGAGUCACUAGCUAGUAAACGGCAGGGCAGAGACUCAAACCCACAUCUGUCUGUCUCGAAAGCCCAUGAGUUUAAAAACAUCUGACAUGAUCUCGCCCUGAGAGGACUCUCAGGGCCAUCAGGCAUUACCAUGGAUAGUCGGCACACGUUCCUAGUCCUGUCUUACACGUGGGGGAAGCCUCUCACUGUGUAGCACAGGGUAGCGUCCCUGGCCAGCGCUUAAUAAACGCUUUUGCUCUUCCA
rnacentral:lncRNA from 1 species